GAUGAACGCUGGCGGCGUGCCUAAUACAUGCAAGUCGAGCGAACAGAUAAGGAGCUUGCUCCUUUGACGUUAGCGGCGGACGGGUGAGUAACACGUGGGUAACCUACCUAUAAGACUGGGAUAACUUCGGGAAACCGGAGCUAAUACCGGAUAACAUUUGGAACCGCAUGGUUCUAAAGUGAAAGAUGGUUUUGCUAUCACUUAUAGAUGGACCCGCGCCGUAUUAGCUAGUUGGUAAGGUAACGGCUUACCAAGGCGACGAUACGUAGCCGACCUGAGAGGGUGAUCGGCCACACUGGAACUGAGACACGGUCCAGACUCCUACGGGAGGCAGCAGUAGGGAAUCCUCCGCAAUGGGCGAAAGCCUGACGGAGCAACGCCGCGUGAGUGAUGAAGGGUUUCGGCUCGUAAAACUCUGUUAUUAGGGAAGAACAAACGUGUAAGUAACUGUGCACGUCUUGACGGUGCCUAAUCAGAAAGCCACGGCUAACUACGUG
rnacentral:rRNA from 1 species